AGUGAACGCUGGCGGUAGGCCUAACACAUGCAAGUCGAACGGCAGCACAGUAAGAGCUUGCUCUUACGGGUGGCGAGUGGCGGACGGGUGAGGAAUACAUCGGAAUCUACUUUUUCGUGGGGGAUAACGUAGGGAAACUUACGCUAAUACCGCAUACGACCUACGGGUGAAAGCAGGGGAUCUUCGGACCUUGCGCGAUUGAAUGAGCCGAUGUCGGAUUAGCUAGUUGGCGGGGUAAAGGCCCACCAAGGCGACGAUCCGUAGCUGGUCUGAGAGGAUGAUCCGCCACACUGGAACUGAGACACGGUCCAGACUCCUACGCGAGGCAGCAGUGGGGAAUAUUGGACAAUGGGCGCAAGCCUGAUCCAGCCAUACCGCGUGGGUGAAGAAGGCCUUCGGGUUGUAAAGCCCUUUUGUUGGGAAAGAAAAGCAGCACGUUAAUCCCCCGCUGUUCUGACGGUACCCAAAGAAUAAGCACCGGCUAACUUCGUG
rnacentral:rRNA from 1 species